CAGCAGCCGCGGUAAUGCGUAGGGUGCAAGCGUUAAUCGGAAUUACUGGGCGUAAAGCGUGCGCAGGCGGUUCGUUAAGACAGAUGUGAAAUCCCCGGGCUUAACCUGGGAACUGCAUUUGUGACUGGCGGGCUAGAGUAUGGCAGAGGGGGGUAGAAUUCCACGUGUAGCAGUGAAAUGCGUAGGGAUGUGGAGGAAUACCGAUGGCGAAGGCAGCCCCCUGGGCCAAUACUGACGCUCAUGCACGAAAGCGUGGGGAGCAAACAGGAUUAGAGACCCCUGUAGUCCCUGUCUCUUAUAC
rnacentral:rRNA from 1 species